ACCACUUGACUAUAAACGAAAGUGCAAGUGAAAUCAUUUUUGAGAACACAAUCCCAACAAUCCUUCCAAGACCUCCAUCAGGCAGAACAACAUCAGCAACUGUUGCUCAUUCAGGGAGAACCAGAGGAAGACCCCUGCCUACUGCUGCUCCAGUGACUCAACCACCAACAUUGUCCCUGGAAACUCUAUCCUUAGAUAAAAGAUGCACUGAAGUAUUACAUCAAGGCAACUGCCGAAGCUACGUGGUGAAAUGGUACUACGACUCUACUGCAAAUUCAUGUGCUCAGUUCUGGUAUGGAGGGUGCGGAGGCUCUGGAAACCGAUUUGAUUCCGAACUGGAAUGUAGACAGUUGUGUGUAAAAACAAAAUAGUAUAGAAUCAAUGAACUGACCCACAUCCAUGUUGUUUUAUCUCUUCAAUUUAAACAACUCUUUCCAAAGAGCACUGAAGACCUUUGCCAGUUGAAGUGACUGCUGUAGUGAAAACGACCAAAGUCAAGUGUGUUCCAUUUCAAAUAUUACAAGAUGGCCUGAGCCACUAACACAGCUAUUAGCACAGAGUGGGAUGUGUACAAAAUGCCCUGAGGUGCUGCAUUUCACAUCUGUACUUGAAGAGGAGCUCUUGCAUUUCUAAAGCUGCCCCUUGUACACAUUCAGAUUUGAUUUUGUUGUUUAUGCAAGUGACCCCAUCCAUUGUGACCCCGAUUCGAAGUUUACCCUCUCCCUCUGCUGUCACCCUUGACUGGGAAGGAUAAUGAGUUGUAAAAGGCAAAGAGGUAAAGAACAGUAACUCCAAACACAGGAGCUGAGAACUCAACUCUGCAACCAUAAUGCAAAAAGAAAACAGCAAAAGGGGGCACGCUGCAGAGAAUUCAUAAAGGUACCCCCAACAAGAAGAACGCAGAGACACUCCUGAAUUCGGAGAUUUGCUGCUACGUUUGUUCUCAUUUUCAACUCAACUGGUGUCUACUAUCAGUAAAGUAUUAAUGAAGUGAUAAUUGUACUAAUGAUAGUUUUAUUCGUAUAAAUGAAUGUCAUUGUAUUCUGAUAUAAAAUGGUACCACAUAUCCAAAGUCUCAGUUGUCAGCCUCGUUUAAUAUCAUUGUGUAACUUCUUUGGUUGGCCUAACCCUCUUACUUGAGGCAGCAGUGGGAUUUUCGUAAUUGUUUUGUUUUUUUAUUAAAAGUCAAUGAAUGAGAUCUCCUGGGUACAUUUAUCCAUUUUUAAAAUAUAAAGAAUGGAGAAGAAAUCAAUGGCACUAAUUUAAAUCAAUUACACAGAUAACAAAAAUUGAAGAGAUCUAUGAAGAAAACAGGUUGCUAUAAGCUGUGUUUAAAGUAUAUGCAAUGUGAUGUUCAAUAUAUGCAUGAAGAUUGCUUUAGUUUUUGACAAAAACGGCAAGGAGGGGUGUUGAACUCAGGUAGAUUAUUCAUCACUCGCUGCAUUUGUCUUUGAAGAAACAAAAGCAUCUUCACAAAACUCACUGUGCUCCUCUACAGACAGAGCGAUCCAAUAAGCUUUUUUUAUAAAAUGUUUA